ACUGACAUCGCGAGGUGUCGGGAGGGAAUAUCAGAAGUCAGCAGACGCCGUAGUAGUGCUAUGAAACCGAUAGCACGAAGGGC
rnacentral:ncRNA from 1 species